GGAUAUUGCUUUUCUAUGCUUGCUAAAGAACGAAGCUGCUGCACUACCCGAUGACUAUAUAAAGAGGAGAAAACCUUGUCACUGCUCACUUCAUCGACUGAAUCCUUUCACUGAAGACUGAACAUUUGAAGUAAAGCUGAGUUGUAAAGAAAUCUCAUCAUGAAUUCUAAAUUUAUCAUCUGCUUGUUUCUUGUGAUUUUCACCGUCACGAAUGCAAACCUGGUGAAACGACGCGUGAACUCAGACCUUCAAACUCAGUGCGAAGACUAUAACUUUUUUUGUUGUCCUCUCACGAAUCCUCCGACUUGUGCUGCGGGAGAUGUAUUGCCGUAUGCGUGCUAUGGAUUGGGUAGUGUUUGCUGCAGAGUACCCUGCUUAUAAGAUACCGAGUUUGCUCAAAAGUUGACGUGGAAAGUAUGGUUAUAGAAAAAUCGACAAAUAUCCUUAGGCAUUUGCUAUGCAUGAUGAUUUGAAUUUGUUGAAACGGGAUUAGAACUUCAAUAAAGUUUGAA